rnacentral:rRNA from 1 species
CACGCCCUAAACUAUGAUUACUCGUUGUUAGCUCAAUUGGGAGUUAGUGGCUAAGGGAAACCUAUAAGUAAUCCACCUGGGGAGUACGAUCGCAAGGUUGAAACUCAAAGGAAUUGACGGGGGCCCGCACAAGCGGAGGAGCAUGUGGUUUAAUUCGAUGAUACGCGAGGAACCUUACCUGGGCUCGAACGGUUAAAGACUUAAUGUGAAAGCAUUAUUCUAUUUAUAGCUUUAAUCGAGGUGC